rnacentral:lncRNA from 1 species
AGAGAUCCUUUUAGGCCCUGCGAAGAUGGCGAGAAGAUAUUAGGUCCUGAAGUACCUUAUAUGAGUGCUAUCGGUGGGCUUUUGUAUCUUGCUAACUGUACCAGACAAUAUGCAAGAUAUCAUUUUUCUCAGAGACCGGGAAUUGAUUUUGAGGAAACAUAUUCUCCGGUAAUGGAUGCAAUUACAUUUAGAUUUUUGAUGAGCCUAACGGCGUCUAAAAAUCUUGAGAUGCAUCUCGUGGACGUUGUGACUGCAUAUUUAUUUGGAUCGUUGGAUAACGAUAUAGAUAUAUGAAACUCCCUGAGGGAUUGAAAAUGCCUGAAGCAUUGAAAGAAAAAUCUAAGGAGAUUUGUUCGGUCAAGUUACAGCGAUCACUUUACGGAUUAAAGCAAUCCGGACGCAUGUUGUACAAUUGCUUAAGUGAAUAUCUUUUGAGUAAAGGAUAUGUGAAUAAUGGGAUAUGUCUAUGCGUUUUUAUAAAGAAAUCGUCAUCUGGCUUUGUGAUCAUUGCUGUAUAAGUAGAUGACCUGAACAUAAUUGGAACUCAAAAGGAGGUUGAUGAUGCUCAAACUCAUAUGAAAGAAGAGUUCGAAAUGAAAGAUCUCGGCAAGACAAAGUUUUGUCUUGGGCUCCAGAUUGAGCAUCUCCGAGGAGGAAUAUUUGUGCAUCAAUCAAAAUAUACGAAAAGAUUAUUGAAACGCUUUUAUAUGGAUAAAUCGACUCCUUUGAGUACUCCAAUGGUUGGUAGAACUCUCGAUGUUGAGAGAGAUCCUUUUAGGCCCUGCGAAGAUGGCGAGAAGAUAUUAGGUCCUGAAGUACCUUAUAUGAGUGCUAUCGGUGGGCUUUUGUAUCUUGCUAACUGUACCAGACCUGAUAUUGCCUUUGCUACUAACCUUCUGGCAAGAUAUAGUUCUGCUCCUACUCGCAGGCACUGGGACGGAAUAGAGCAUGUAUUCCGUUACCUCCAAGGUACAGUUGAUUUAGGAUUAAUGUAUUUUAGAAAACCCGAG